rnacentral:rRNA from 1 species
CCAAUAGCGUAUAUUAAAGUUGUUGCAGUUAAAAAGCUCGUAGUUGAAUUUCGGGGUUCUACCGUCGGUCGGGCUACCAAGUCUGUACUGGUGUGUAGAAUUUCUACCUUCUGGGGAACCAUCAUGUUAUUAAUUUAGCGUGGUGGGAAACCAGGACCUUUACCUUGAAAAAAUUAGAGUGUUCAAAGCAGGCUUACGUCUGAAUACAUUAGCAUGGAAUAAUAGAAUAGGACGGUGGUCCUGUUUUGUUGGUUUCUGAAUCACCGUAAUGAUUAAUAGGGAUAGUUGGGGGCAUUAGUAUUCAAUUGUCAGAGGUGAAAUUCUUGGAUUUAUUGAAGACUAACUUCUGCGAAAGCAUUUGCCAAGGAUGUUUUCAUUAAUCAAGAACGAAAGUUAGGGGAUCGAAGACGAUCAGAUACCGUCGUAGUCUUAACCAUAAACUAUGCCGACUAGGGAUCGGACGAUGUUAAAUUUUAUUGACUCGUUCGGCGCCUUAC